GGAAGCCUCGGUAUUUCGCCUGUG
rnacentral:siRNA from 1 species